UACGGAGGGUGCAAGCGUUAUCCGGAUUCACUGGGUUUAAAGGGUGCGUAGGCGGGUUGGUAAGUCCGUGGUGAAAUCCCCAAGCUUAACUUGGGAACUGCCGUGGAUACUAUCAAUCUUGAAUAUCGUGGAGGUAAGCGGAAUAUGUCAUGUAGCGGUGAAAUGCUUAGAUAUCUGGAGGAAUACCGGUGGCGAAGGCGGCAUCCUGGACCGGCAUUGACGCUGAGGAGCGAAAGCCAGGGGAGCAAACGGG
rnacentral:rRNA from 1 species